UACGGAGGAUGCAAGCGUUAUCCGGAUUCAUUGGGUUUAAAGGGUGCGUAGGCGGGAUAGUAAGUCAGUGGUGAAAUCUUUCGGCUUAACCGGAAAAUUGCCUCUGAUACUGUUAUCCUUGAGUACAGCUGAGGAGGGCGGAAUGUGUAUUGUAGCGGUGAAAUGCAUAGAUAUUACACAGAACACCAAUUGCGAAGGCAGCUCUCUAAACUGUUACUGACGCUGAGGCACGAAAGCGUGGGGAGCGAACAGG
rnacentral:rRNA from 1 species